rnacentral:rRNA from 1 species
CCUACGGGGGGCAGCAGUGAGGAAUAUUGGUCAAUGGACGAGAGUCUGAACCAGCCAAGUAGCGUGAAGGAUGACUGCCCUAUGGGUUGUAAACUUCUUUUAUAUGGGAAUAAAAUGUUCCACGUGUGGGAUUUUGUAUGUACCAUAUGAAUAAGGAUCGGCUAACUCCGUGCCAGCAGCCGCGGUAAUACGGAGGAUCCGAGCGUUAUCCGGAUUUAUUGGGUUUAAAGGGAGCGUAGGUGGAUUGUUAAGUCAGUUGUGAAAGUUUGCGGCUCAACCGUAAAAUUGCAGUUGAAACUGGCAGUCUUGAGUACAGUAGAGGUGAGCGGAAGUCGUGGUGUAGCGGUGAAAUGCUUAGAUAUCACGAAGAACUCCGAUUGCGAAGGCAGUUCACUGGACUGCAACUGACACUGAGGCUCGAAAGUGUGGGUAUCAAACAGGAUUAGAUACCCUAGUAGUC